GAAAUGCGAUAAGUAAUGUGAAUUGCAGAAUUCAGUGAAUCAUCGAAUCUUUGAACGCACCUUGCGCUCCUUGGUAUUCCUUGGAGCAUGCCCGUUUGAGUAUCAUGAAAUCUUCAAAGUAAAUCUUUUGUUAACUCAAUUGGUUUCUACUUUGGUAUUGGAGGUCUUUGCAGCUUCACACCUGCUCCUCUUUGUUCAUUAGCUGGAUCUCAGUGUUAUGCUUGGUUCCACUCGGCGUGAUAAGUUAUCUAUCGCUGAGGACACUGUAAAAGGUGGCCAAGGUAAAUGCAGAUGAACCGCUUCUAAUAGUCCAUUGACUUGGACAAUACUUUUAUGAUCUGAUCUCAAAUCAGGUAGGACUACCCGCUGAACUUAAGC
rnacentral:misc_RNA from 1 species